ACUUCACCUUCAUGGCCGUAGUAAUAAGGAUUGCUGAUCACUAGUGGACUAGAAGGAAUCGUCUUCGCACCUUCAUCAAGCGAUCCUGCUAUCCUUUCGGACGUGAAGGAUAGUCGCACCAGGUUAAGAUGGAGAACAUGUGUUUUCCAGAUCGAACUUAGCAGUUUAUUUGUCGCGGACAUAUUCAUCCUAUAUACACUGUAUUCCUGGAAAUUAAAAUAAUCAAUAUUGAUCGUUUAUAUGCAA